rnacentral:piRNA from 1 species
CNGUACUGGUAGCCUGGCAUGGUGGG